rnacentral:rRNA from 1 species
GAUGAACGCUGGCGGCGUGCCUAAUACAUGCAAGUCGAGCGAACAGACGAGGAGCUUGCUCCUCUGACGUUAGCGGCGGACGGGUGAGUAACACGUGGAUAACCUACCUAUAAGACUGGGGUAACUUCGGGAAACCGGAGCUAAUAACGGAUAAUAUAUUGAACCGCAUGGUUCAAUAGUGAAAGACGGUUUUGCUGUCACUUAUAGAUGGAUCCGCGCCGCAUUAGCUAGUUGGUAAGGUAACGGCUUACCAAGGCGACGAUGCGUAGCCGACCUGAGAGGGUGAUCGACCACACUGGAACUGAGACACGGUCCAGACUCCUACGGGAGGCAGCAGUAGGGAAUCUUCCGCAAUGGGCGAAAGCCUGACGGAGCAACGCCGCGUGAGUGAUGAAGGUCUUCGGAUCGUAAAACUCUGUUAUUAGGGAAGAACAAAUGUGUAAGUAACUAUGCACGUCUUGACGGUACCUAAUCAGAAAGCCACGGCUAACUACGUG